rnacentral:rRNA from 1 species
UACGGAGGAUGCGAGCGUUAUCCGGAUUUAUUGGGCGUAAAGCGUGCGCAGGCGGUUUGUUAAGUCUAAAAUUAAAGCCCGAAGCUUAACUUCGGUUCGUUUUAGAAACUGGCAGACUUGAGUGUGGUAGAGGCAAAUGGAAUUUCUAGUGUAGCGGUAAAAUGCGUAGAUAUUAGAAGGAACACCAGUGGCGAAGGCGAUUUGCUGGGCCAUUACUGACGCUCAUGCACGAAAGCGUGGGGAGCAAAUAG